rnacentral:rRNA from 11 species
AGAGAAAUCAUUAAAAUAAAAAAAACCCUGCGAACUGAAACAUCUUAUUAGCAGGAGGAAAAGAAAUCAAUCGAGAUUGGGAUAGUAAGCGGCGAGCGAACUCCCAUAAGCCCAU